rnacentral:snRNA from 1 species
GGAUGUGAGGGCAAUCUGGCUGCGACAUCUGUCACCCCAUUGAUCACCAGGGUUGAUUCAGCUGAUCUGGCUGGCUAGGCAGAUAUCCCCUUCCUCCCUCACCGCUCCAUGUUUGUCCUUGCCGAAGCUGCAUGUUCAGUCGAAGAGGAUAACCGUCACUGAUAGAGGAGGACCGUUCUUCAGUCAAAGGUAUACAAGUGCCUGCACUCCCCUGCUAGAACCUCCAAACAAGCUGUCAAGUGACAACCACAUCCAAAGGCUAGCACAGAAAGAAAGACUCACAGACCCUCCAGUGUAUUCU